rnacentral:rRNA from 1 species
AACGAACGCUGGCGGCAGGCCUAACACAUGCAAGUCGAGCGCGCCCUUCGGGGUGAGCGGCGGACGGGUGAGUAACGCGUGGGAACGUGCCCUUUUCUACGGAAUAGCCUCGGGAAACUGAGAGUAAUACCGUAUACGCCCUUUGGGGGAAAGAUUUAUCGGAAAAGGAUCGGCCCGCGUUGGAUUAGGUAGUUGGUGGGGUAAUGGCCUACCAAGCCGACGAUCCAUAGCUGGUUUGAGAGGAUGAUCAGCCACACUGGGACUGAGACACGGCCCAGACUCCUACGGGAGGCAGCAGUGGGGAAUCUUAGACAAUGGGGGCAACCCUGAUCUAGCCAUGCCGCGUGAGUGAUGAAGGCCUUAGGGUUGUAAAGCUCUUUCAGCUGGGAAGAUAAUGCCGGUACCAGCAGAAGAAGCCCCGGCUAACUCCGUG